rnacentral:sRNA from 1 species
AUUCUGCCCAUACGGGGAAGGAUGAGAACCUUCGACUAAGGUUCGACUCGAGCGUCAGCGAGAGAGCGUUGCCGCAGGCAACGACCCGAAGGGCGAAGCGCGCAGCGCUGAGUAAUCCUUCCCCCACCACCA